rnacentral:rRNA from 1 species
UACGUAGGGGGCGAGCGUUGUCCGGAGUUACUGGGCGUAAAGCGCACGCAGGCGGUCUGCUAAGUUUGGAGUGACAGUUGGUGGCUUAACUGCCAAAGUGCUUCGAAAACUGACAGACUUGAGGGCUUCAGAGGGACACGGAAUUCCGGGUGGAGUGGUGAAAUGCGUAGAGAUCCGGAGGAACACCAAAGGCGAAGGCAGUGUCCUGGGGAGUACCUGACGCUGUGGCGCGAAAGCUAGGGGAGCAAACGGG